rnacentral:rRNA from 1 species
GAUGAACGCUGGCGGCGUGCCUAAUACAUGCAAGUCGAGCGAACAGACGAGGAGCUUGCUCCUCUGACGUUAGCGACGGACGGGCGAGUAACACGUGGAUAACCUACCUAUAAGACUGGGAUAACUUCGGGAAACCGGCGCUAAUACCGGAUAAUAUAUUGAACCGCAUGGUUCAAUAGUGCCAGACGGUUUUGCUGUCACUUAUAGAUGGAUCCGCGCCGCAUUAGCUAGUUGGUAAGGUAACGGCUUACCAAGGCAACGAUGCGUAGCCGACCUGAGAGGGUGUUCCGACAUAGUGUAUGAUAGAGGCUGAGCAGACUCCCAAGGAAGGCAGCAGUAGAGAAACAGGAGCCAUAGGCGAGGGCCUGACGGGGCAACGCCGCGUGGGUGAUGAAGGGCUGCCGAGCGUAAGACGCGGUUAUUGUGGAAGAAUAAAUCUGUAAUGAACCACGCACAACUUGACGGUACCUGACCAGAAGGCAACGGCUAUGUACGUG